CCGCACAGACUCCUCAGCAGUCAAGCUCCUCUCAGAUAAAUUCACAACAUUUCAUUUGAAUUUUCUGAGUUUUUAUACCCAGAAUGCUUUGCAAGAACCUGUUGCUCAUCUGUAUGGCUGUUUUCAUCUGUGCAGAUGCUCAACACAAUUCAGGACUCAACAGAGCGGGUGAACAAUGCUGACAUUACCAUUGCUGGUGAGACAGACUACAAUCCUAUCAUGUCCUUCCUUUUGGAAUAAAAUGUGUCAUCUUGACUCUGUUGCUUAGCUUUUAGCAUGUAGCACUGUUACACAUAAUAAAUAGUAGUCCAUAGUGUCAUAGGACAUUUAAAAAUAUCUCAUGAAUAAAUGUUUCCUUCAUCCCUAUGUUUGUUCAGUAUCAAUAUUUCGUAUAAAGACAAAUGUCAGUCAUGUUUUCAGAUGAAUGUUCAUGAGAACCGAACAAAGGUUGUUUUACCUACAAUGCUUUGCAGGAUUCUGCUGCUUAUACUGUGUGUAUGGCCACUUCCAUCUGUGCAAGUAAGACUGGAUCUCAACUCAACUUAACUCAACUUUAUUUAUAAAGUGCUUUAAGCAGC